rnacentral:rRNA from 1 species
AUUCUCCUACGGGGCGCAGCAGUGGGGAAUAUUGCACAAUGGGGGAAACCCUGAUGCAGCGACGCCGCGUGAGUGAAGAAGUAUUUCGGUAUGUAAAGCUCUAUCAGCAGGGAAGAAAAUGACGGUACCUGACCAAGAAGCCCCGGCUAACUACGUGCCAGCAGCCGCGGUAAUACGUAGGGGGCGAGCGUUAUCCGGAUUCACUGGGCGUAAAGGGAGCGCAGGCGGCACGGCAAGUCCGGUGUGAAAGCCCGGGGCCCAACCCCGGGACUGCACUGGAAACUGCCGGGCUGGAGUGUCGGAGG